CCUAGAUCCCGUCGCUCAAAAAUGCAUUCUAACACCAAGGAUCUUGUAAACGCAGAGUCUAGAUCUACUCUCUUUCUCCAUCGUCGCAGCCGCCUCAGCUUCAACGGCUAUUUCAUCCUUCUCCUUGCUAUCGCUCUCUCUUCCAUUGAUGAAAGCUCAAGCUCUUUUCCAACAAAUGACAGUUUUGACGUUUGAGCUCUUCGAUGUCUCUUCCACUACUCCCCUCUUCAAUCUCAGUUAACGCUGUUUGAAACCCUAAUCCUACAUCCA